AUACCUUUCUCGGCCUUUUGGCUAAGAUCAAGUGUAGUAUAUUCUUAUUAGUUUAAUAUAUGAUACGAUAUUAACUCCAAUUUUUUAGGGGGAAGGUCCAUCAAGGUAGCUUGCUACCUGGGCCUUCGCACGUCGCUCGGGCGUUGCACUAUAUCCCAGGGCUGACGGACCCCAC
rnacentral:snRNA from 1 species